rnacentral:rRNA from 1 species
CCUACGGGAGGCAGCAGUGAGGAAUAUUGGUCAAUGGGCGAGAGCCUGAACCAGCCAAGUCGCGUGAAGGAUGAAGGCUCUAUGGUUUGUAAACUUCUUUUAUAUGGGCAUAAAGUGAGUAACGUGUUCCUUUUUGUAUGUACCAUAUUAAUAAGCAUCGGCUAACUCCGUGCCCGCAGCCGCGGUAAUACGGAGGAUGUGAGCGUUAUCCGGAUUUAUUGGGUUUAAAGGGUGCGUAGGUGGUUAUUUAAGUCAGCGGUGAAAGUUUGUGGCUUAACCAUAAAAUUGCCGUUGAAACUGGUUGACUUGAGUACAUUAGAGGUAGGCGGAAUGCGUGGUGUAGCGGUGAAAUGCAUAGAUAUCACGAAGAACUCCGAUUGCGAAGGCAGCUUACUAAAACAUAACUGACACUGAAGCACGAAAGCGUGGGGAUCAAACAGGAUUAGAUACCCGAGUAGUC